rnacentral:rRNA from 1 species
UACAGAGGGGGCGAGCGUUUGUUCGGAAUUACUGGGCGUAAAGCGCACGUAGGCGGCUUUGUAAGUUAGAGGUGAAAGCCUGGAGCUCAACUCCAGAAUUGCCUUUGAUACUGCAUGGCUUGAAUCCAGGAGAGGUGGGUGGAAUUCCUAGUGUAGAGGUGAAAUUCGUAGAUAUUAGGGAGAACACCGGUGGCGAAGGCGGCCCCACUGGCUCGACACGUGACGCUGAGGUGCGAAAGCGUGGGGAGCAAACAGG